AAAUGAAUAGACGGGGGCCCGCACAAGCGGUGGAGCAUGUGGUUUAAUUCGAAGCAACGCGAAGAACCUUACCAGGGCUUGACAUCCCUUGACCGCCAUAGAGAUAUGGCUUCUCUUCGGAGCAAGGAGACAGGUGGUGCAUGGUUGUCGUCAGCUCGUGUCGUGAGAUGUUGGGUUAAGUCCCGCAACGAGCGCAACCCUUGUCAUUAGUUGCCAUCAUUUAGUUGGGGACUCUAAUGAGACUGCCGGUGACAAACCGGAGGAAGGUGGGGAUGACGUCAAAUCAUCAUGCCCCUUAUGUCCUGGGCUACACACGUGCUACAAUGGUCUGUACAGAGGGAAGCGAAGGGGUGACCUGGAGCGAAUCCCAGAAAGCAGAUCUCAGUUCGGAUUGCAGGCUGCAACUCGCCUGCAUGAAGUCGGAAUCGCUAGUAAUCGCAGGUCAGCAUACUGCGGUGAAUACGUUCCCGGGCCUUGUACACACCGCCCGU
rnacentral:rRNA from 1 species